UACGUAGGGUGCAAGCGUUGUCCGGAAUUAUUGGGCGUAAAGAGCUCGUAGGCGGUUUGUCGCGUCUGCUGAAAACCCGAGGCUCAACCUCGGGCCUGCAGUGGGUACGGGCAGACUAGAGUGCGGUAGGGGAGAUUGGAAUUCCCGGUGUAGCAGUGAAAUGCGUAGAGAUCGGGAGGAACAUCAGUUGCGAAGGCGGCUCUCUGGACCAGUACUGACGCUGAGGCACGAAAGCGUGGGGAGCAAACAGG
rnacentral:rRNA from 1 species